GUGGGGGGGGCGCCCUCGGAGCCGGGCGGAGGGGAGGGGGGAAAGAGGAGCGCAGGGUGAGAGUGAGCCGCAGGCUUCGGGAGGCGAGGGGGCGGGGGGAGCAGCGCCGAGGCCGCCGCCUCCGCCUCCGCCGCCUAGGACUAGGGGGUGGGGGACGGACAAGCCCCGAUGCCGGGGGAGACGGAAGAGCCGAGACCCCCGGAGCAGCAGGACCAGGAAGGGGGAGAGGCGGCCAAGGCGGCUCCGGAGGAGCCCCAACAACGGCCCCCUGAGGCGGUCGCGGCGGCGCCUGCAGGGACCACUAGCAGCCGCGUGCUGAGGGGAGGUCGGGACCGAGGCCGGGCCGCUGCGGCCGCCGCCGCCGCAGCUGUGUCCCGCCGGAGGAAGGCCGAGUAUCCCCGCCGGCGGAGGAGCAGCCCCAGCGCCAGGCCUCCCGACGUCCCCGGGCAGCAGCCCCAGGCCGCGAAGUCCCCGUCUCCAGUUCAGGGCAAGAAGAGUCCGCGACUCCUAUGCAUAGAAAAAGUAACAACUGAUAAAGAUCCCAAGGAAGAAAAAGAGGAAGAAGACGAUUCUGCCCUCCCUCAGGAAGUUUCCAUUGCUGCAUCUAGACCUAGCCGGGGCUGGCGUAGUAGUAGGACAUCUGUUUCUCGCCAUCGUGAUACAGAGAACACCCGAAGCUCUCGGUCCAAGACCGGUUCAUUGCAGCUCAUUUGCAAGUCAGAACCAAAUACAGACCAACUUGAUUAUGAUGUUGGAGAAGAGCAUCAGUCUCCAGGUGGCAUUAGUAGUGAAGAGGAAGAGGAGGAGGAAGAAGAGAUGUUAAUCAGUGAAGAGGAGAUACCAUUCAAAGAUGAUCCAAGAGAUGAGACCUACAAACCCCACUUAGAAAGGGAAACCCCAAAGCCACGGAGAAAAUCAGGGAAGGUAAAAGAAGAGAAGGAGAAGAAGGAAAUUAAAGUGGAAGUAGAGGUGGAGGUGAAAGAAGAGGAGAAUGAAAUUAGAGAGGAUGAGGAACCUCCAAGGAAGAGAGGAAGAAGACGAAAAGAUGACAAAAGUCCACGUUUACCCAAAAGGAGAAAAAAGCCUCCAAUCCAGUAUGUCCGUUGUGAGAUGGAAGGAUGUGGAACUGUCCUUGCCCAUCCUCGCUAUUUGCAGCACCACAUUAAAUACCAGCAUUUGCUGAAGAAGAAAUAUGUAUGUCCCCAUCCCUCCUGUGGACGACUCUUCAGGCUUCAGAAGCAACUUCUGCGACAUGCCAAACAUCAUACAGAUCAAAGGGAUUAUAUCUGUGAAUAUUGUGCUCGGGCCUUCAAGAGUUCCCACAAUCUGGCAGUGCACCGGAUGAUUCACACUGGCGAGAAGCCAUUACAAUGUGAGAUCUGUGGAUUUACUUGUCGACAAAAGGCAUCUCUUAAUUGGCACAUGAAGAAACAUGAUGCAGACUCCUUCUACCAGUUUUCUUGCAAUAUCUGUGGCAAAAAAUUUGAGAAGAAGGACAGCGUAGUGGCACACAAGGCAAAAAGCCACCCUGAGGUGCUGAUUGCAGAAGCUCUGGCUGCCAAUGCAGGCGCCCUCAUCACCAGCACAGAUAUCUUGGGCACUAACCCAGAGUCCCUGACGCAGCCUUCAGAUGGUCAGGGUCUUCCUCUUCUUCCUGAGCCCUUGGGAAACUCAACCUCUGGAGAGUGCCUACUGUUAGAAGCUGAAGGGAUGUCAAAGUCAUACUGCAGUGGGACGGAACGGAGCAUUCACCGCUGACCCCUCACCGUCGGGACCUCUGUAGCCGCUCUAUCUGGCUAGCAAGGAAGAUUCGUUCAGACCUGACUGCUCUUACGGAAUCCUAUGUGAAGCAUCAGGGCCUGAACAAGAACAUCAACCUGGACUCUGCGGAUGGGAUGCCAGUGGCAAGCACUGAUCAGUGGAGUGAGCUGACCGAGGCAGAGCGACUCCAAGAGAACCUUCAAGCUUAUCGUACCUUCCAUGUUUUGUUGGCCAGGCUCUUAGAAGACCAGCAGGUGCAUUUUACCCCAACCGAAGGUGACUUCCAUCAAGCUAUACAUACCCUUCUUCUCCAAGUCGCUGCCUUUGCAUACCAGAUAGAGGAGUUAAUGAUACUCCUGGAAUACAAGAUCCCCCGCAAUGAGGCUGAUGGGAUGCCUAUUAAUGUUGGAGAUGGUGGUCUCUUUGAGAAGAAGCUGUGGGGCCUAAAGGUGCUGCAGGAGCUUUCACAGUGGACAGUAAGGUCCAUCCAUGACCUUCGUUUCAUUUCUUCUCAUCAGACUGGGAUCCCAGCACGUGGGAGCCAUUAUAUUGCUAACAACAAGAAAAUGUAGCAGUUAGUCCCUUCUCUCUUCCUUGCUUUCUCUUCUAAUGGAAUAUGCGUAGUUCCCUGGGGCCUCGCUUUCCCAUCUUAAAUUUCUAAAAACAGUUAAGACAACAGGCAUUUUCUUUCUUUUUUCUCUGACCACCUGCAGCCUGUUGAAGGACUACAGGUAUUUUCAUCAAGUAGCGUUGGAGACAUACACAAAUGGGCAUACAAGUUUAGCCUGGGGGGUGUGAUUUGUGUGCGUGCUUGCAUGUGCUGCAGGUGUAAGAGAGUGGGAGCAGGGACAACGUCCUUCCACUUCAGGGUUCUAACCUUUCUAACCCACUAAGUAACCUCUACAGGCAUUUAACUGCCUUACAGACAGAAUAUACAUAUGUUAAUUCUAGUCCUGGAUGACUCGGUCUGAGAAGAUUCAAUUUAAAAUCAGACUCUUUAGUUGAUUUAAACUCUUAGAGAAUAAGAAUAAUAAUGGCUAACUUUUAUUAUCUUCUAUAUUAAGGCAGUAUGCCAAGGGUCUUUAUGUAUAUUAUGUACAGCGUUUACAACCUUGUGAGCAAGGUGGUGUUACUCCCAUUAGGUAGAUGAGAAAACAGGCUCACAGAGAUUUGGUUAAGCUCACACAGCUAACAAGUAGCACACUGAGUUUGAACACAGAUCAUUCUCCUUGUAAAAGCCUAUGUGCCUUUCACUUUAGAGGCUUGAUCAUGAAUCACUGCACCUCUUUGUCACAGGGUGUUGGAAGAUGCAUCCAUGUAAUCUAUUCCCAUCGCUGGAAAACAGCUGCUGUUAGAUGUCCUCAGAAGUCAGUUGCAAAUUUUAGCGUUAAAGUCAGGAUUUAUUGUUCAUACUUGGCGGUGAGGAGGGCAGCUGGAGAUCUUAAGAUUCCAUUUUGGAAAAUGAUUAGGCCCGCCAAACUUCUGAACUUUGGAAGCUGGGGAUGUUUAGUAAUACAGCCUGGUUUUUAAGUACUCACUAAAAGUUCUCAAAUAUUGGGUUGGGCACGGCUUAUACCAGGUUACCUCACUUUUAAUUAGUGAUGCAGGCAGUGUAACCCAAGCAUUUGUGGACAAUGAGUGGAAUACUAAAGUUAAAAAGUCAAACUUUCACCUCAGAUUUUCUGGACUUAGUCAUGAGGAGAGGGUGAGGCCCACUCUGUUCCUACUGGAGAUACCAGAGACUCUGAAACUAUAGAAUAAAGCCUCUGUGCUGCACAACAAA